UUGUGCAGCCACCACCACCAUCCAUCUCCAGAACUUUCUCAUCUCCCCAAAUCAAAGCUCUGUCCCCAUGAAACUCUCAUUCCCCAUUCUUCCUUUCCCCAGCCGCUGGUCUCGAACUUCUGACCUCAAGUGAUCCACCCUCCUUGGCCUCCCAAAGUGCUGGGAUUACAGGCAUGAACCACCGCUCCCGGCCCUUGUACUGUGACUCUAAGACUGGUUUUUCUCAGCACCGUCCCUCCCU
rnacentral:lncRNA from 1 species